UUGAAGAUUGUCUUUGAGGCGUGAGGGGAACAAAAUGGCUAAAGUGACAACAAUGGUCUGCGCUAUUAAGUGACAGAACGCCAUACAACUUGAAUAUUAUCAAAUAGAAACAUUAAUUAUUCGUUUGAAAUAUAUUCGGUACAUAUUGAUAGCUCGGCUUUACAUGGUCUAGGAAACGUAACCAUGUUAAACGACGUACCAAAGAGAUUAUCACGAAGCUCUGAAACAACUGAGGCCGAUGUUCGCGAAGAUGAAGAACAGACGAAAAGAUUUCAAGAUAUUAUCGACUUACUUCUUGCAGCGGGCUAUUUUCGAGCCAGAAUAAAAGGAUUAUCGAAUUUUGAUAAAGUAAUUGGCGGAAUGACGUGGUGUAUAGAGUCGUGUAACUUCGAUGUAGAUAUCGAUUUAUUGUUUCAAGAAAAUCUUACUAUAGGCCAAAAAAUUUCAUUGACCGAAAAAAUUGUAGCUAUGCUACCCAAAAUGAACUGUCCAUAUCGCAUAGAACCGCAUCAAAUUCAGGGCUUAGAUUGCAUUCAUAUUUUCCCUGUUAUUCAGUGGUUGGUUAAACGUUCGAUGGAAACUCGAGAAGAGACGGCAGAUUUUGUACGAUCGUUUGCUUUAAGUCAAUUUCACAAAAAGCAUUCCUUUGUUGAAGAUUCGCCUAUAGCACAAACUGGCAAGGAAAAUUUAAUAAAAAGUAUUCACUUGAUUAAAAAAUCGUACGAACCUCGACGUCUUUUUAAGCAUAAAGACGAUAUUAAAAGAGAAGAAUCUACUAAAUUUCUCGGUACCGUCCUGGAGUACGAAGCACCUUUGUAUUCUAUAAAAAUUGCUUCUCCAUCCGCUGAAAUUGCUUCGACAGAUGUCAAAGAAAAUGAUAAUAAAGAAGAGCUAAAGGAAAAGGAAAAUACAGAUCAAUUAGCUGGGAACCUAGCCGCUAUAGAAGAAAGCUCAGCUCGUUUAAGCGUAGUAGCCGUAGGUAAUAUCGUUGGUAUCCAAGCCCAAGAGAUUGCCAAAGUAACCGAAAAAUAUGCGACGAUGUCGAUUUCCCAACCUGAGGAACCUAGUGGCACAAAUUCUUCAGCAGCUUUGACUGCAUUAGAGAAUCAAAGAGCUGCGCUUCAGAAUCGUGUUCGUAAAUUAACGAAAGAGAAAGAUGCUUUAUCCGCUAAGCAUUUAGAAUUAAUUGAAAAACUGAACGAGUCUCGUACAAAGCGGCAAGCUAUUGAACGCUCAUUAAAGAAAGCAGAAGAAAUGGAUAUCAAUGAAAACGAUAGUAUCUACAAACGAUUGGAAGAACUUCUUUUAGUCCACGAUGGUUUGAAGGAGCAAGAACAUAAUUUCCGAGAACAAUGCAAAUUCGAUUUAAAUCUCUUGAAAGGUAAGCUACAAGAAAUCGAAAGUGGUACAUCGGAAGAGGAGGAAGAUCGCUUAAAGGAGUACGAGCAGCAAAAGGAAGCGCUCGCUAAAGUCAGAUUGCAGUUAGCUAAAAAGAAUAGAGCUAUUGCAUCCUUAACCAGACAAUUGGACGAUGUUCCCGGUCGUUCGGAACUUACGCAAUAUCAAAGACGAUUUAUGGAACUUUAUAAUCAAGUUUCGGCAAAACAUAAAGAAACAAAACAAUAUUACACAUUGUACAAUACUCUGGACGAUACGAAAGUUUAUUUAAGUAAGGAAUUAUCGCUACUAAAUUCGAUCCAAGAUAAUUAUAAUGAAGCAAUGGCAUCAACAAGCGGUAAAGAACAAUUUCUUAAACAAUUCGAUGAGAUCGUCGCAGGCGUAAAACGCAAUAAGGCGAAGGUGGAGAAACGAUGUGCUGACGAAAAAAAUAGAAGGGAUGCACUUAGUCGGCAACUGGUCACUCUGAUAGAACAACAACGCAAAUACGUCGCUGCGGUCAGACAACUCACUAUUGAAUGUCGUAAAAAUGAGGCCUUGCUCGCGCAACUGCGGGGUCCGUAGAUACAGAUUUCAUUUCCGCUUAUCUGAAAACAUAUCGGAUCCUCGUAUUUUUGCCUCACGAUUUUUUAUUUCGUUGUUAAUAUGAUGCUGAAUCUGUGUCGAUGGAAUGGAUACGUCAUCCGAACAGUACAAUAGUUAAGUCUCAACAUUGAGAGCAAGACUGCGAGGAACAAGCGAGAUACAUAUUCGAAAGGGUAAUUCGGUGUUACGGAAGCUUUUAAAUGAAACCAUUCCUUCGCUCCGUGUAAUAUUAAUUUUAUGAGAAAGAAUAUAUAUGAACUCACUAGAA